GCACAAGCGGUGGAUCAUGUUGUUUUAAUUCGAUGAUACGCGAAGAACCUUACCAGGUCUUGACAUCCCCCGCGAUGCUUUAGAGAUAAAGCGGAGGUAUUCGGGGAGACAGGUGGUGCAUGGUUGUCGUCAGCUCGUGUCGUGAGAUGUUGGGUUAAGUCCCGCAACGAGCGCAACCCCUAUUGCUAGUUACCAUCAUUAAGUUGGGGACCCUAGCGAGACUGCCAGUGAUAAACUGGAGGAAGGUGGGGAUGACGUCAAAUCAUCAUGCCCCUUAUGACCUGGGCUACAAACGUGAUACAAUGGCUGGAACAAAGGGAUGCGAAGCAGUGAUGUGGAGCGAAACCCAUAAAAACAGUCUCAGUUCGGAUUGAAGUCUGUAACUCGACUUCAUGAAGUCGGAAUCGCUAGUAAUCGCGGAUCAGAACGCCGCGGUGAAUACGUUCUCGGGGUUU
rnacentral:rRNA from 1 species